GUGGAUUAGAUACCCUGGUAGUCCACGCCCUAAACGAUGAACACUCGAUGUUAGCGAUAUACAGUUAGCGUCUAAGCGAAAGCGUUAAGUGUUCCACCUGGGGAGUACGCCCGCAAGGGUGAAACUCAAAGGAAUUGACGGGGGCCCGCACAAGCGGAGGAGCAUGUGGUUUAAUUCGAUGAUACGCGAGGAACCUUACCCGGGCUUGAAAGUUAGUGAAUGAUUCAGAGACGGAUCAGUCCUUCGGGACACGAAACUAGGUGCUGCAUGGCUGUCGACAACU
rnacentral:rRNA from 1 species